CCUCCGGUAGCUCAGUUGGUAGAGCGGUGGACUGUAGUAGGUUGUAAUUAUGAGCCAUCCAUAGGUCGCUGGUUCAAAUCCGGCCCGGAGGA
rnacentral:tRNA from 1 species